UUAAAGUUGAGGCGCUGACAGAUGGAUGUGCGUCUGAUUAGCUAGUUGGUAGGGUAACGGCCUACCAAGGCGACGAUCAGUAGGGGGCGUGAGAGCGUGGUCCCCCACACGGGUACUGAGACACGGACCCGACUCCUACGGGAGGCAGCAGUAAGGAAUAUUCGGUCAAUGCCCGCAAGGGUGAACCAGCCAUUCCGCGUGGAGGAUGAAAGGCCCUAUGGGUUGUAAACUUCUUUUAGAAUGGGAAGAAAAUGCUAGAUGUAUCUGGUACUGACGGUACCAUCAGAAUAAGCACCGGCUAACUCCGUG
rnacentral:rRNA from 1 species